ACCCGGGGCAAGCCGGUAGGGAGAGCGAUAGGCAAAUCCGUCGCUCACUAAUCCUGAGAGGUGACGCAUAGCCGGUUGAGGCGAAUUCGGUGAUCCUCUGCUGCCAAGAAAAGCCUCUAGCGAGCACACAC
rnacentral:rRNA from 1 species